UACGUAGGGGCGAGCGUUGUCCGGAGUUGACUGGGCUAAGGCACGCAGGCGGUGCGGCGCGUUUCGACCGUGACGAGCGGAGGCUUAACUCUCCGAGGAUGCGAAAGACGGCGGCACUUGAGGGCCAGAGAGGGACACGGAAUUCCGGGUGGAGUGGUGAAAUGCGAUAGAGAUCCGGAGGAACACCGAAGGCGAAGGCAGUGUCCUGGCUGGUGACUGAACGCUGGAGGUGCGAAAGCUAGGGGAGCGAACGGG
rnacentral:rRNA from 1 species